GGGGGGGAUUCUUGAGCCAUUCCCUUUCAGCUACGAACACUGUAAAAAGUUCAGAUGAAGUAACUUAUUUUGCCCAGUGUAUGUUGACUAAACAAGAGAUGAUGAUCGAUAUACUUACGCUUCCUUCUUCACAAGCAAGGAUCCACGCUAUACCAGAAAUCGCAUAUAAUUCGUCGAAAAUGAGGAAACUUUUGGCAUCAUCAAGAGCGAAAAAUCAAAGCUCGGUGAAACUGCAAUUUCUUAAACAGAUACGAAUGCAAUGCACAAUCAGCCAUUUGAUCCUCGCGCAUUUUGCCUUCUGGGUUCCAGUCUUUUGAUCGCCUGCUCCUCAACAGAGUAUCCAUCUGAAAGCAACAGCAUCUUAGCCACACUUCGAGACAGUAAGAAUUUUGCAACAAAGAUCACACCUGAGGCCAAUUUCCUUAAACAGUGAGGCUAUAAACAGAUGGAUCCGUGGCGCAAUGGUAGCGCGUCUGACUCCAGAUCAGAAGGUUGCGUGUUCGAUUCACG
rnacentral:lncRNA from 1 species